rnacentral:rRNA from 1 species
GAUGAACGCUGGCGGCGUGCCUAACACAUGCAAGUCGAGCGGGGAAUUGUUGCUUGCGACCCUUCUUAGCGGCGGACGGGUGAGUAACACAUGGGUAACCUGCCCUAAACAAAGGGAUAACAAUGAGAAAACAUUGCUAUUACCGUAUAAGCUUACACUAUCGCCUGAUAGAGUAAGAGAAGAUUUAUCGGUUUAGGAGGGGCCCGCGUCUGAUUAGCUAGUUGGGGAGGUAACGGCUCACCAAGGCGACGAGCAGUAGCCGACCUGAGAGGGAGAUCGGACACAGUGGGACUGAGACACGGCAGAAACUCCUAGGGGGGGGAGGAGGGGGGAAUAUUGCAAAAUGGGGGAGACUCUGAUGCAGCAGCGCCGCGUGGAAGAAGAAGGUUUUCGGAGCGUAAAGCUCUAUCUAGAGGGAAGGAGAAAAUGACGGUACCUGAGAAAGAAGCCCCGGCUAACUACGUG